rnacentral:lncRNA from 1 species
UUUAUACCUAUAAAAUUACCCAUCCUCACUCAUUUUACCAAAAGAAAAAUACAGAUUUUCAUACCCUAAAAAACCCCCAAAAAAGUUCUGCACUGUUUCAUUGACAACUGAAUUUUCUCUGAUUUUCACAAGAAAAACUAAAACAAGUUCUCUUGAAAUUUCUGUGUUAAAGGCUGAAAUAUGCUUUAAUUUUGGAGCUAUGCUACUGCUGCUGGACUUCUGUUUUUUAUUCAUUUCUGCUGACUUCAGGGUUCUUUUCUUUUAUUUACUAUAUUCAGGUAUCCUUAUAGGUUUUGAAAUGCAAAAGUGAAGAUGUAAUAUGUGGCUUGAAGUUGAAAACUCCAGAUCUUCUUUUUGUUUAAUGUCCUCUUUGUUUUUUUCUUUUGUUUGUAAUUUCUUUCCAUCUGUUUAAGCUUGUGUAGCAUUGUUGCUUUAUUCUAUAGUUCAGUCACAAUGUUUAGGUUUG